GAACAUUUGAUUAUUGAUUAUGUUUCAGGGAAUGAUAUUUCAGCCUUAGAUGGUUCAGUCCUGGUUUUUUUCACCAACUGAAAACAGCACACCUAACCACGAAGGGAAAGUUAUCCAAAAUUUAAAAGUAUGUGAUGAUUGUGGUAAAACUUUUAGAUCAAUACCUGGGCUCAGGGAGCACAAACAGAGGGAGCAUGGACAACAACGUUAUACAUGUGGGCAGUGUAAUCAAGGCUUUAUGUCCAAAACAUUAUUUAAGUCACACAUCCUGCAACAUUGCCAGG